AGUGUUGAAAUUUGGUCUGCUUUAUUACUUACGAACUGCUUUGCAUUGCGAUAUAAGCCGGCGUCCUACAAGGGAGCAUUCUAUAUCCCAUCAUAUGUAUCAUUUAUACUGACCUACCUUGAAUCCAAACCAUCAUCACCUACGCGGUCGAUACAUCGAUUUUGUCCUUUAACUCGAAUACUAUCCAAGCUACGUCUAAUACCCUAAUAAGAACACCUUGGGUUUAUCGAGUAUUGGUGCAAAAUGAUGACAAGAUUGAAUGAAGCAAAAUUUACUCAGUGUACGUUCACAUUGAAGAAAUCUUGCCCUGCACUGUACAUCAACAACAAAGAGAUACAGACUUUUACUCAAGUCAAACAUCUAGGACUAUACCUACACGUUAAAUCCCCGCAUAAGACUUAAGAGACAACUCAACAUAAGACUUGGAAAUUACGAAUAUGACCAAAAUCUGACCGUCAAAAUACUUUGUACAAGAUUUUACUGCGACCACUUUGGACGGAGUGGAACGUAGGGUUCUGUCAAGCCAUCCAACGUCUGUUCCUACCAUUAAGGAAUUCAAUUAUCUAGUGUCUGCUGAGCCUGCUGUGACCUGUAUGGGGAUAUCUAAAUUCCAAGAGGAUGGGACAUACACCCAAGGAAUGGAUCACAUCCUCCCUUCCACUGAGGUUACAAACUCUCUUUCUCGUCAUGGAGUGUAGUUAAGAAAAAGCAAUUCGCCUCUUAAUUUAAAAAACCAGCUCAGCUCCGUAGGCGAAAGUUCUGUAUUUUUUGAAUUAAGGGACAGUAAGGUAGGGGGGGGGGACUGCAGAUCUUUAUAUAACAGAAAACAGUUGAACUGUCGAGCUGAUCGCACACACUCUUCCCGGUAACAUCCUUCGACGUAUGACCAUCAACUGGGCACAUCAUUUAUCCCGAUCCUGGAAGUUAGAGUCAAAAGGGCAUGAGUUCCUUUCCGCCAAAUUAACCCAGUGCUUGAACCAGAAUGUUUUUUCCUCCAUAACCUCAAAGGCCAGAGAACGAGAAAGGCGGUGAGCAGGCAGAUUCAAAGUCUUGAUGCAGUAUCUAUCAUGGAGACCGAAGGUGAAAACAUGAACCAGAGAGGUUGAAGUCUCAAUACAAACCGUGCAAUUUGGUGUUAUGAGGGGGAGCCCAAACAACUUCUUGUUGAAGGAACGUUGAAAUUUUUCCACCAACUCAUAUCGUUGAAACCCCCAACUCUGGGCACCACAGCACACAAUUGAACGGCAAACCGCUUUGAAUAAGUUAUAUUUGGUGGAAGGAGGGACUUUACAGUUAAUAACGAGGGCUUUCCAAAAACGAUGUAUCCAAAAUUUACCCGAUGAUAUCCUCUCCGUAAAAUGCCGAGUCAUGGACAGACGGGGGUAAUACCCAGAUAUUUUUAAUGGUUAACGACUUCAAUAGGGUUUCC